rfam:Anopheles epiroticus strain epiroticus2 unplaced genomic scaffold supercont1.463, whole genome shotgun sequence.
ACCAAAGUCCUUUUCAGGACUACAGCAUACGUUUUGGAAAAGGUUCU